ACAACUGGUUGAUAGAGGCUACGAACGGUUCUUCUCAUUAAGUAGUCGCAAACGAGCUCGUCGUCUCUCGGAUGGAAUCUAAACCCAGGAGAGAGAGGGAGAUGUAGAGGAAUUCAGGAUUCAGGAGUUUUGAGCACAAGAGGAAAGAGGAGCGGUGGUGUAAAUAAUUAGCUAACAAGCAAUAAAGUCAACUUCAAUAUACGCUUGUUUCAUCGGAAGUCCGGUGUUGUUGCACACUGUCGAAGCCGCAUGUCGAAGAUACCACCUGAAUCGCCACUUGAAGCCGUCACCACCAUCUUUCAAAACUGUCCGUCUACCACCGUCCACCGAAAAUUUGCGCCCACCGCGGAAGCUACACGUCCACCGCCACUAACACAUGUUUCUCAAAAUUAAUCAUAACUAACAAUCAGUGAAGGCGGAGAUGUCGAACAUCCUUCAAGUUUGCUGGAUCUUUCAAUUGAGUUUCAUUAUAACUUAGAAGAGAAGUAGAGAACUUCUUCUCUCAUGUGACGUCAUUUCUCACAAAAUUCACUCAUACGCAGAGGACAAAAAAGUCAUGAACAGUAAUGUUUGUAUUUAAUAUUGUACCUUUCACUAUUGUAAUGCCUAAAUCCGA